rnacentral:rRNA from 1 species
AUUGAACGCUAGCGGGAUGCCUUACACAUGCAAGUCGAACGGAGUGGCGAACGGGUGAGUAAUGCCUCGGAACGUGCCCAGUCGCGGGGGAUAACUACGCGAAACCGUAGCUAAUACCGCAUACUAUUGGAUCAGCCUAUCUCGGAUUAGCUAGUUGGUGGGGUAACGGCUAACCAAGGCGACGAUCCGUAGCUGGUUUGAGAGGACGACCAGCCACACUGGAACUGAGACACGGCCCAGACUCCUACGGGAGGCAGCAGUAGGGAAUCUUCGACAAUGGACGAAAGUCUGACCGAGCAAUGCCGCGUGAGUGAAGAAGGUUUUCGGAUCGUAAAACUCUGUUGGUAGAGAAGCGGUAUCUAAACAGAAAGCCACGGCUAACUACGUGCCAGCAGCCGCGGUAAUUC